AUCAUAGAGGAAAAUCCGCAU
rnacentral:miRNA from 1 species